CAUGUGUAAGUAUAAAUAAUUUUACUUUGAAACUGCGAAUGGCUCAUUAUAUCAGUUAUAGUUUAUUAGAAAUACUUUACUACUUGGAUAACCGUAGUAAUUCUAGGGCUAAUACAUGAGUAAAUCCUCAACUUCGGAAGAGGUGUGUUUAUUAGUAUGAAAACCAUAUAUCUUCGGAUAUAAUAGUGAGUAAUAAUAACCUUUCAUAUCGUAUGUCGUAAGAUAACGAUAGUUCUUUCAAGUUUCUGCCCUAUCAGCUUUCGAUGGUAGUAUAUGGGACUACCAUGGCAGUAACGGGUAACGAAGAAUUUGGGUUCGAUUUCGGAGAGGGAGCCUGAGAGAUGGCUACCACAUCCAAGGAAGGCAGCAGGCGCGUAAAUUACCCAAUCCUGACAUAGGGAGGUAGUGACAAUAAAUCACAAUGCGGAACUAUUUAGUUUUGCAAUUGAAUUGAGAACAAUGUACAAAUGUUAUCAAUAAACAAUUGGAGGGCAAGUCUGGUGCCAGCAGCCGCGGUAAUUCCAGCUCCAAUAGCGUAUAUUAACGUUGUU
rnacentral:rRNA from 1 species